UACGUAGGGUGCAAGCGUUGUCCGGAAUUAUUGGGCGUAAAGAGCUCGUAGGCGGUUUGUCGCGUCGGCUGUGAAAGCCCGGAGCUCAACUCCGGGUCUGCAGUCGAUACGGGCAGACUUGAGUGUUGCAGGGGAGACUGGAAUUCCUGGUGUAGCGGUGAAAUGCGCAGAUAUCAGGAGGAACACUGGUGGCGAAGGCGGAUCUCUGGGCCGAUACUGACGCUGAGGAGCGAAAGCGUGGGGAGCGAACAGG
rnacentral:rRNA from 1 species